AGUGAACGCUGGCGGUAGGCCUAACACAUGCAAGUCGAACGGCAGCACAGUAAGAGCUUGCUCUUACGGGUGGCGAGUGGCGGACGGGUGAGGAAUACAUCGGAAUCUACUUUUUCGUGGGGGAUAACGUAGGGAAACUUACGCUAAUACCGCAUACGACCUACGGGUGAAAGCAGGGGAUCUUCGGACCUUGCGCGAUUGAAUGAGCCGAUGUCGGAUUAGCUAGUUGGCGGGGUAAAGGCCCACCAAGGCGACGAUCCGUAGCUGGUCUGAGGGGAUGAUCAGCCACACUGGAACUGAGACACGGUCCAGACUCCUACGGGAGGCAGCAGUGGGGAAUAUUGGACAAUGGGCGCAAGCCUGAUCCAGCCAUACCGCGUGGGUGAAGAAGGCCCUCGGGUUGUAAAGCCCUUUUGUUGGGAAAGAAAAGCAGCAGGUUAAUACCCCGCUGUUCUGACGGUACCCAAAGAAUAAGCACCGGCUAACUUCGUG
rnacentral:rRNA from 1 species